rnacentral:tRNA from 1 species
AUUUAUAUAGUUUAAAUAAAACAUUACAUUUUCAAUGUAAAAAUAAUUCUUUAUUUAUAAAUA